rfam:Tupaia chinensis contig102944, whole genome shotgun sequence.
AUACUCUGGUUUCUCUUCAGAUCGUAUAAAUCUUUCGCCUUUUACUAAAGACUUCUGUGGAGAGGAACAAUUAUUCUACUCAUUGAGGCUUAUGCCUAAAGUUGGACUUGUGUUCAUAGAAAUGUAU